GGUUUUUUUUCUGACAGAAACUAUGCUGGCAUGUUUUUGUGCAUACAUAGGCCUUGGAUAUUAGAAUAAUACUUGCCUCAGAAGUGAAUGUUGUCAAUAGCCAGCUGUCUACUUAGCUAGAUGGUUUUGCCUAGGUAGGAAUGUAGACUUGUAGCCAUGUAGCAGCUUCUACCACCUGUACAAAAAGCCAAUUUGCCUUGGCAUGAGUGAAGAAGACCAAGAAAUGUCUAGUUUCAUGUAUGCUUCAGAUCUGAACUGCUUACAAAAUAUAGGAGAUUUUUGUGAGUCAGCUGAGUCUUGAAAUUCUUUUUAUAUAUAGAUAGUAUACUGUAUGUGAAUGCAGGCCAUUUUCCUAUCUGCAGCUAGUAUAAAUGGAUUUCAUAACAAAGUCACUUCAGUCCUGUCCUCAUCCUAACCGCCAUACUUCCAACAGCUUGAAACAAGCUACUGGGCUGUCUUUUGCUGUUGCAUUCAUGAGCUGCAGGUCAGAUGAGUUUUAGUGGAAGCUCAUUUCCUCCAGUGGUACAAUUUCACUCUCAGAAUGCUGCUUCUCAGCAGGGUCAGUUAUCUGAGCACGAUAUCACAGCUGGGUAUGCUGCUGUUUAGGGAGUGUCACUUGGCACCUUGCCCAUUCGCACCAUCAAUUCCCUCCUCAGAGUUGCCUUUCCCUGGACACAAGUGAAUGGAUUUUGGCCCUCUCUGACUGGAGAGCUGGAGUCCUGUUUGGUUUGCUCGGAGAAAAGUUUGAACAUCCAUCAUUGAUUAGGCAGAGUCUGAUCACAUUUGCACUACGCGCACAUGCAGAACAAUUCCACCGACGUCAGAGAAUUUGCACCAGGAUCAGUCUGACUCAAGGGGGAAGAUCUUCAGGUGAUGAAAACCACUCCUGCUUUCCUCACUUCAGGAGGAGAAACAUAGGAAAGAAAAACCAAGUUGAAGUCAGUGAAUCUGCAGGUGAAAUGCAUUUGGGAUUUUGUGAGAAGGAGAAGCAGCUUCCAGCUAAAAUAUCCAGAUAUUUUAUUGGAUCCAGACA